GACGAACCGUGCGAACGUUAUUCGGAAUCACUGGGCUUAAAGCGCGUGUAGGCGGCCCGGCACGUCGGGCGCUGAAAUCCCCCGGCUCAACCGGGGAACGGGCGCCGAUACGACCGGGCUGGAGGGGGGUAGGGGGCGCCGGAACUUCCGGUGGAGCGGUGAAAUGCGUUGAGAUCGGAAGGAACGCCCGUGGCGAAAGCGGGCGCCUGGACCCCACCUGACGCUGAGACGCGAAAGCCAGGGGAGCGAACGGG
rnacentral:rRNA from 1 species